rnacentral:rRNA from 1 species
UACGUAGGGGGCAAGCGUUGUCCGGAUUUAUUGGGCGUAAAGAGCGUGUAGGCGGCUAGGUAGGUCCGUUGUGAAAACUCGAGGCUCAACCUCGAGACGCCGAUGGAAACCAUCUAGCUAGAGUCCGGAAGAGGAGAGUGGAAUUCCUGGUGUAGCGGUGGAAUGCGCAGAUAUCAGGAAGAACACCAACGGCGAAGGCAGCUCGCUGGGACGGUACUGACGCUGAGACGCGAAAGCGUGGGGAGCGAACAGG